GACAAGGGAGGAGAAAAUAUGGAUGAGAAUCUAUAAACCAAAAGAAAUAGAGGAGCAAUGGGGAACAAGUGUAAACACAGUCAAAUAACACCCAAACCCUCUAAUUCAAUCCUCUUCUUGACGCCAUCUUUCACACAAUUUUUUUUUUCUCAUUUUUCUGUAUUUUUUUUCCUUUUUUUUUCUUUUUUUUUUUCUCAUCUUGUCUCUUUUCUUUUCUCUCUUUUCAGAACACAACUCUAAGAGACAAAAUACACAACAUAUUUACAAAACAAAACAAGAAGAGG
rnacentral:lncRNA from 1 species